CUCUCUCUCUCUCUCUCCUCCUUCGUUGUCUCUUUUGAGUCAUAUUUGAGAGUGAUUAAGUGAUGCCCGUCAAUCGAAGGAAGAGGAAUAUCCUACGCGUGGAAGCUUGCAAGACAGAAACAAGGCGCACAAUGGCGGUGGAGAGAAAUGGCGGUAGUAAUGGUGGCAGGAAAGCAAGGAGGUUAUCAGCGAGGGUCGACCCGAUUUCUAACGGGCGACCGCAGUCGAGAGUCGAGAGGCACUACGAGAGAGGAAUAACGGGCUUCCCAAAAUCACCUGGGCCCCGUUAUUAGCCGUUAGAAACGAAACCUGUUGGAAACCAUAGCGCGGAUCCUUCGAAGUUUACCUCACGUUUCUUCGUUUUUCGCCUUCUACGGAAGGGAAGAAGAGGAGGGCAAAGAGGAAGAGGAGGAGGAGAAGGAGGAGGAGGAGAAGAACAAGAAGGAGGUGGAGGAGGAGGAGGAGGAGUGAGUAAGUAAAAGGCAUCGGAGGAGUUUCUCAAUCGGCACGAUUCGAAAGAGUCUCGCAUUCGCUCUUUUCUAUUUCGGGACACGUCCGCGCGUCUCUCAGUGAGGAGCAAGAUAAUGAAAUUUCUCCUGUUACCAUCGCCGUCAUCGUCAUCAUUGUCGUCGUCGUCGUCUUCGUCGUCGUCGUCGUCGUCGUCGUCGUCGUCGUUGUCGUCGAGGUUCAACUUCAAAGACGAUGAUAACCGCGAAAGAAGGCGGUUCGUCGAACUCUAAUGAGAGAAAAAGAAAAAGAAAGAGAUAGAGAGAUAGAGAUAGAUAGAUAGAUAGAGAGAGAGAGAGGAAAGGAGAAGAAAUACGUAGGUAGAUUUUCGCGGCAAUUGGUACGAAACUGCGAGUAAAGAAGGAAGGAGUGAUAUCGGAACGACUAGGAACGACUAUGAACAACUAGAGAGGCGCGGCUCGGUACCACGAGACUCGACCUGCUGUUGUCGAACCGUAGGAGGAGGUGAUAGAGGUGUUGAAGAUGGUGGUGGUGAGAAGAUGGGAGGGGAUAGGAGGAGAGAGGAGGAAAGUAAGUAAGUAAGUAAGCAAGAAAGAAAGAAAGAAAGAAAGACAAAAAGAAAGGGAGAAAGAAAGAAAGAAAGAAGGAAAGAAAGAAAGAAAGAAAGGAGGUGGGAUACCUGGAAUGUGUGUAAGGUAAGCGGCGGCAUCCGGGCAAUGCCCUCGCAUGUAAACAAUCAGAAAUUGCAGCCCCGGUUUCGCGAGGUAAAGUUAAGCGAACGCAUGAGCUCUGCACUUACACGAUCGAUCGCACACGCGCAAUUACAUUACCGCAUGGAUAUAUAAGCUGAGAGACCGGUUCGUACGUUCUGCGCUCUCCUUCCGUUGCGCUCCUUUGCGUCCGUCCGUCCGCUUGCCUGCCUGCCUGCUUGCCUGCCUGCCUGCAAACCUAAGAAAAAGAUAAGAGAGAGAGAGAGAGAGAGAGAGAGAGAGAGAGAGAGAGAGAGAGAGAGAGAGAGAGAGAGAAUGAGAGAGAAUGAGAGAGAAUCACAUCUCUCGCGUAAAAAGUCCUCCUACUUUGUACGACGUAUCCCAAUUUCGAAAUGAUACGCCUUUCGAAGUACAAUAUGUAGGUAUAUAUAUAUAUAUAUAUAUAUAUAUAUAUACGCAUACACAUUUAUACCUAAAUGCAUAUAUCUAUAUAUAUAUAUAUAUAUACGUUUAUAUGAUGCGUUAGUAGGAGAGGAUCGAAUUGAAAUGACGCGGGAUUCAUUAUGAAAGAAUGCAGAGUGAACCGACGAUGCGUGACAGGAAUAUGACGUUUGUACAUCGCUUAGGUGCGUCGUAAUCGAGGAGAUCGAUGUAUUAUGCCAUUGUUGUGUCGUAGGACGUUCUCGCGUGAUAAUACACCAUUGUUAUAUACCGAUGAUUUCAUUAUAUAAAUCCCGUCAAUUUAUAUAAUCUUGCCAUUAGAUCGCGACUGGCGCGGACUGACGGGAGGACGGAGUGGGGAGAGGGGAGGGGGCGGGUGAUUGGAUUGGAUUGAAUUGGUGAUAGGGAUGGAUGAGAGAGAUUAAGGAAUUAAAAAAAAAAAAGAAAAAAGAAAAGAAAAAAAGGUUAAAAAAAUGAAAGAUAAUAAAAACGGGAGAGGGAAAAUUGAAAAAGAAAAGAAAAAGAGAAAAGAGAGAAUAGAAAAGAUAAUAUAAAUGAAAGAAGAAAAUUAAUCGUUCUAUUCUCGGCAUAUAUAUAUAUAUAUAUAUAUAUAUAUAUAUAUAUAUAUAUAUUCGAUCUUUUAAAUUUGACGCUUAUGGUACUUCGCGUAUGUAGGAACCCUGUCGUGUAUGUCGGGUUCAUUGACCGACCGCCGACCUUUUACGAGCACACGAAGGAUUCUGGAUCAAACGGCUCCGACUAUGUAUCCCCACGAGGAAGAGACCAGCCUGUGUUUCAAUUAAUAAACGAAAAGGAGACACACUUGGUUACGAAUUGGUUCGUUUACGAACACGGUGGAACGAAGAUUGCGGUACGAAAGAUUCAAGAGGCUUCGUUAAUUGACAUGUUAACCCUUUAAAAACGACGCAGUUUGAACGAACAGACACGAUUUACUAUAAGAUCAUGUAAAAGUUAUUAGAUACGUACGUGCGUGCGUAUAUGUGAGCGCGUAUGUGUGUGUGUGUGUGAGUGUGUGUGUGUGUGUGAGUGUGUGUGUGUGUGUUAGUCUCGAAGGAAGCUCGGAUAAAUUUUCAAAAAAGAAAAAAAAGGAAAAAGAAUGUACGAUAACAAUUAAUUUUUGUUCGUUUCUCUUUUUCUUCUUUUUCUUUUUUUUUUUUUUUUUAAUUUUUAAUUUUUUAAUUCUUUUUAAUUUCGAUCAAAAUUAUGUUACAUUUAAUGUUAAUUGUAGAACGCAAAGAAAUUCUUAUUAUAUUAGUUAUAGAAGGUUAUAGAGCGAAACGUGAGUGAAACGUGAUACUCGUAUGUGUAGUUUCUAAAAAAAAAUACAGAUUUGUUAAAUUAAAUGGAAAAAAAAAUAUUAAA